rnacentral:rRNA from 1 species
GACGAACGCUGGCGGCGUGCUUAACACAUGCAAGUCGAACGGAAAGGCCCUUUCGGGGGUGCUCGAGUGGCGAACGGGUGAGUAACACGUGGGUGAUCUGCCCUGCACUUCGGGAUAAGCUUGGGAAACUGGGUCUAAUACCGGAUAGGACCAUGGGAUGCAUGUCUUGUGGUGGAAAGCUUUUUGUGGUGUGGGAUGGGCCCGCGGCCUAUCAGCUUGUUGGUGGGGUGAUGGCCUACCAAGGCGACGACGGGUAGCCGGCCUGAGAGGGUGUCCGGCCACACUGGGACUGAGAUACGGCCCAGACUCCUACGGGAGGCAGCAGUGGGGAAUAUUGCACAAUGGGCGUAAGCCUGAUGCAGCGACGCCGCGUGGGGAUGACGGCCU